GUCUAUGUGGGGAAGGUCCCCAGUAACUGAACUGUCUGCAGAAAAGUGUGGUCUUCAACUCUGUCUCACCUAUGCUAAUUCAGGAUUCAGUGCCUAGCUUGGAGCAGGACCUCAGCCAGGAAGUGGCCACGACAGGAUCGGACAGGGGUCUUAGCUCCAUCUGGGAACACAAAAGGGAUGCCCAGCACAGGAAGCCUUCUCGUCCAUCUGCCCACCAGUGCUCCUCCCUUCAUCCUCCACUCCCCUUGUGCAAGGCCACAGCAGCUCUACUCCAGCAAGCCCCUCUGCUGUGCCGUCCUGCCUUGCA